rnacentral:rRNA from 1 species
GCGCGAGCGAGAGGGCGAGAGGCCCAUCCGCGCAACGAAAGCGAAUGGCGGGACGCUCUCCCGCAGGGGGGCGGCGCCGCCGGCCGGACGUCCUCGAGGCGGACCGAGCCGGAGCGCUCGCGUCGGGACCCGAAAGGUGGUGAUCUAUCCGUGCGCGCGGCGAAGCCGGGGAAACCCCGGUGGAGGCCCGUCGACGGUACUGACGUGCAAAUCGUUCGUCCGACGUGCGAAUAGGGGCGAAAGACCAAUCGAACCUCCUAGUAGCUGGUUUCCGCCGAAAUUUCCCUCAGGAUAGCGGCCAUCGCGGAAACGUUUUGACCGGUAGAGCGAACGACUAGAGGUACCGGGGCCGUAACGGCCUCGACCUAUUCUCGAACUCCGAACGGGCAAGGAGCCGGGGUCGCCCCGAUCGGACCCCGGACGUGAAGUCGACGAUGGUCGGUGGCUGGUUUGGUAAGCAGAACGGGCGAUUCGGGAUGAACCGGAAGC